AUUGAACGCUGGCGGCAGGCUUAACACAUUCAAGUCGAGCGAGCGGCGGACGGGUGAGUAAUGUCUGGGAAACUGCCUGAUGGAGGGGGCUAACUACUGGAAACGGUAGCUAAUACCGCAUGCCAUCAGAUGUGCCCAGAUGGGAUUAGCUAGUAGGUGGGGUAAUGGCUCACCUAGGCGACGAUCCCUAGCUGGUCUGGGAGGAUGACCAGCCACACUGGACGUGAGACACUGUCCAGACUCCUACGGUAGGCAGCAGUGGGGAAUAUUGCACAAUGGGCGCAAGCCUGAUGCAGCCAUGCCGCGAGUGUGAAGAAGGCCUGCGGGUUGUGAAGCACUGUUAGCGAGGAGGCGUUACUCGCAGAAGAAGCACAGGCUAACGCCGUGCCAGCAGCCGCGGUAAUUC
rnacentral:rRNA from 1 species